rnacentral:rRNA from 1 species
AGAACGAACGCUGGCGGCAGGCUUAACACAUGCAAGUCGAACGCCCCGCAAGGGGAGUGGCAGACGGGUGAGUAACGCGUGGGAAUCUACCUGGUUCUACGGAAUAACUGAGGGAAACUUCAGCUAAUACCGUAUACGCCCUAAGGGGGAAAGAUUUAUCGGUGCCAGAUGAGCCCGCGUUGGAUUAGCUAGUUGGUGGGGUAAUGGCCUACCAAGGCGACGAUCCAUAGCUGGUCUGAGAGGAUGAUCAGCCACACUGGGACUGAGACACGGCCCAGACUCCUACGGGAGGCAGCAGUGGGGAAUAUUGGACAAUGGGCGAAAGCCUGAUCCAGCCAUGCCGCGUGAGUGAUGAAGGCCUUAGGGUUGUAAAGCUCUUUCAGUGGGGAAGAUAAUGACGGUACCCACGAGAAGAAGCCCCGGCUAACUUCGCGCCAGCAGCCGC